CGGGAAAGCCGGCCUGUUGAUUCUCAGUUUUCUGAGGGUAGGAAAGUCCGGACACCACAGGGCAGCAUAGCGGAUAACAUCCGUCCGUAGCAAUACGAGGACCAGUGCAACAGAAAGCAGGUACAGUUCGGCUGUAGUGAAACCAGGUAAACUCUAUGCGGUGCAAUGGUAAGUAUAUCGAUGCUUUACGGAGCAAUCUGUAAAUAGGAGCGGCCCGUUCCGAAAAUCGAGGGGUAAUCAGCUAAAGCCUUGCAGCAAUGCCAGGCGCAGAUAAAUAACAGGCAUCCGCCACCGGCGUGAUACAGAAUCCGGCUUACAGGUUUUCCCGUGGU
rnacentral:RNase_P_RNA from 1 species